GUCAGACUUUUAUUUUUACGGGCCCACUUCCUGUUUUGCCCCCAAACUCUUCAACUUAUUUAAAGCCCCGCCUCAGCGCAGUUUAAAACACCACCUGUUCCACUGUGAUUGUGACUGGCUGUUGGCGUCUUGCUGAUCAUCUCUCCUUGGAAAAUUCACCCAAAUCUCUGAAACUGAUUUGAACUAUUGAACUGUGGCAGUUGUUACCUGGGCUGUCACCAGGAUUCAGCUGAUCGCAGUCUAGCACUCUCUGCUGAAAGGUCGGGUUUUUUUUUGAUGGAUCAGAUUCUCAGAUCAUCUUCUGAGCAAAGGAUGGCGAGCUAAGGACAAGAACUUUGAUCUUUU